CAAUUUUUUCAUAUUUGUGUCAGACUGUUGUACCUGUUUUUCCCCCGUAGUCUUUCCUGUGUUUCUUUAUUUGGUAAUUUUCCUGUCCUCGUUUAGUCUGAU